rnacentral:rRNA from 1 species
UGGGGAAUAUUGGACAAUGGGCGCAAGCCUGAUCCAGCCAUGCCGCGUGAACGAUGAAGGCCUUAGGGUUGUAAAGUUCUUUUGUCAGGGAAGAUAAUGACGGUACCUGGAGAAUAAGCACCGGCUAACUUCGUGCCAGCAGCCGCGGUAAUACGAAGGGUGCUAGCGUUGUUCGGAAUCACUGGGCGUAAAGCGCGCGUAGGCGGCUUAACAAGUCAGAGGUGAAAGCCUGGAGCUCAACUCCAGAACUGCCUUUGAAACUGUUAAGCUUGAGUGUCGGAGGGGAUAGCGGAAUUUCUAAUGUAGAGGUGAAAUUCGUAGAUAUUAGAAGGAACACCGGUGGCGAAGGCGGCUAUCUGGACGACAACUGACGCUGAGGCGCGAAAGCGUGGGGAUCAAACAGGAUUAGAUACCCGCGUAGUCCCUGAGCGGGCUGGCAAGGCGCAU